GUCGUUUUGUGAACCACUGCGAGAAGACAAAACGAAGACAGUGCAGAGGACACGAUACACCGGGAAAGGCAAGGGAAACAACUGGCGCCUUCCUGCGAGAUAAAGGAAAGACAGAGACAGAGAGGAACACAGCCAUUUGUUUGGGCGACCGUCCUCCUCCCCGCUGCCCGCCGCGCUGCCUGCAUGACAC